GGACCAUAUGAUGAAUGUGGAUUAACAUUUUCUCACGACGGUCGUCUGAGAUUUAUUUUGAUGUAAAUGAUCCAAUACUUCUGAUGGUC